rnacentral:lncRNA from 1 species
CCUCCGGGGGAGGGAGUCCAGAGGGCCGGCGCUGCAGUUCUGCCGGGUUCCUGCGGCUCCUCCCCGUGGGGGCGAACACAACACCGAGUUUGUGCCACAUUGCGGCCCACACCUGCUGUAUUCCCCUCUGCGAAGCCAGAGCUUCGGCUAGGUAAGCGGGAGGUGGAGAGGCAGAACUGCAGGAGGGGGCAAGCCGGUGCGAGAGGGCAACGAAAGGGUCUGCAGGUUUCGUCUGGCAGCAUCAUAUAAUAAUAGCAACACGUCUCCCACGCGGCUGGAUCCCUUCUCCGGCCUGGGAUAGCUGCUAUUGAUUGUUUCCUCCUUGGCUUACUUAUGGUUGGCAGGAGUCUCUCACGACCGCUCCUCAACUCUGGUCCCCGGUUCCCCGGCCCGCCGCCGCACCCAGCUCAGCCCUCCGCGAGGUUCUGGUUAGUAAGCUGAGCUCUGCCAAAGGAUGGGGUGCUUUCCUCGCGGGGAGGGGGCCCAGGCCCGGGGGCCUCACUGAGCGGACAGCCGGGUGGCGGCACCUCGCCGCCUCGCGCCCCCGCCGGCCCCUUUAAUUCGAGUCCGCCGGCGGCCAGGUGCGGCGCUGCGUGGCGCGGUGCGGCGCGGUGCGGCUGCGGGCGGCGGCCGGGUGCUCGGUACGCGCAGCCCGCGGGACUGCAGAGCCGGCUCCGGCUGGCCGCCCGCACGCCGCCUCCUGCGGUCAUCCAGAAAUAUGGAGGCUCCGGGUGCCCAUCGGGAAGGGCAACGUCACACCUCCUGAGGACAGCCAGGAGGACUCCAGCUUUUGCUGAGCAUUGCAUCUUACCUCUUCCUUUCAAAGGCUCCAGAUCCCAGCUUACCUGUCCUCAAGCUUACCUGUGCCCCAACCAGGCAUCCCACUACCCCUCCAGCCCAGCCCAGCCCUAGAGCUCACCUCCAGGCCCUGGAGCCUGCCCUCCUGCCCAGAAUGACUCACCAUUAUUUCUAGCUCAAGUGAGAAGACGUGAUGGGGUGUCGGGCUGCCCGUUUGUGUAUCUAGGAUUCCUGAAGCAUCGGAUCAGCUCUUCAAGGAAGAGAGCUGCAGAUUCGUGCCUUGCCAGGUAAAUCAAUCUAUUGUUUAAUAACAGCCGUGUGUAGAGUCACUGGGGUGGGGGCAGUGAGAGAGACCCACCCAGGCCCAAGAUUUGUCACUGCAAAUACCUCUCAGGGUGCAGGGUUCUGCAAGGCAUUAGUUUAGUGCCUGGGAGAGGGCUCCCUUCCAACCUCUUGUAUGGGGCUGUGCUCCAUGAAGCCUGCGCAGUGCAGAGGGACCUAUGUCAGCCCCCUGCCUCCAGCUCAGGGCAUUCCAGGGCUUUCUUGAGAGACCACCACCUGCUCCUCUCUGAUCCCCAGCUAAGGUAAACAUAAAUCUUACUUUUUUGUGGUAUUGGUGGUGGUAAUGAUGUUUUUGAGCUUCUUGGCUGAGAGAAGAGAGGGGAAAAAAAAAAAAAAAAAACAGCACCUCAGGUCGGGCUGCCAGUGCUGAGUGGUCUUAUGUUCUUAACCGCCUCUGUCUUUCAGCCAAGCGAGGCUCUCUCUCCAGCUCUCAGGGAGCCCUGGGGGCUCUCCCGCUGGAACCCAGGCUGAUGCCGCUGUGUUUCCUGGGGCCGUAAGCACCAUCCCGAGCUCCCGGCCACCAGGCAGCUAGAAGGCGCAGCGAGAGG